AUGCACCACGCAUGCACCGCGCUUGCUCCGCGCCUUAAACAUCCACCUGACGACCGCUCGCUACGUUGUGUCAUCG
rnacentral:sRNA from 1 species